rnacentral:rRNA from 1 species
AACGAACGCUGGCGGCAUGCCUAACACAUGCAAGUCGAGCGAACCCAUCGGGUGUAGGGGCGUACGGCUUUGUAACGCGUGGGAACAUGCCCUUGUGUACGACAUAACUCUACGACAGGGGUGAUAAUGCCGGAUAGUAUCUAAGACCGAAAGAUUUAUCGAGUUAGAAUGUGCACGAGUUGGAUUAGGUAGUUGGUAGGGUAAUAGCCUACCAAGCCGACGAUCCAUAGCUGGUUUGAGAGGAUGAUCAGCCACACUGGGACUGAGACACGGCCCAGACUCCUACGGGAGGCAGCAGUGGGGAAUGUUGCACAAUGGGCGAAAGCCUGAUCGAGCUAGGCCGCGUGAGUGAUGAAGGUCUUAGAGAUGUAAAGCGCAUUUACCUGGGAUGAUAAUGACGGUACCUGAAGAAUAAGCUCCGGCUAACUCCGUG